rnacentral:rRNA from 1 species
GAUGAACGCUGGCGGCGUGCCUAAUACAUGCAAGUCGAGCGAACAGACGAGGAGCUUGCUCCUCUGACGUUAGCGGCGGAGGGGUGAGUAACACGUGGAUAACCUACCUAUAAGACUGGGAUAACUUCGGGAAACCGGAGCUAAUACCGGAUAAUAUAUUGAACCGCAUGGUUCAAUAGUGAAAGACGGUUUUGCUGUCACUUAUAGAUGGAUCCGCGCCGCAUUAGCUAGUUGGUAAGGUAACGGCUUACCAAGGCAACGAUGCGUAGCCGACCUGAGAGGGUGAUCGGCCACACUGGAACUGAGACACGGUCCAGACUCCUACGGGAGGCAGCAGUAGGGAAUCUUCCGCAAUGGGAGAAAGCCUGACGGAGCAACGCCGCGUGAGUGAUGAAGGUCUUCGGAUCGUAAAACUCUGUUAUUAGGGAAGAACAAAUGUGUAAGUAACUAUGCACGUCUUGACGGUACCUAAUCAGAAAGCCACGGCUAACUACGUG